UUAAAUUCAGGGGGUCUUCCCACUUCAUCUGAGGUCUAAUUCAUGGGUUGAACAGCUUCUCGGCUCAAAGAAUGACACUUUCACUCACCUUUGAACUCUGAAGGUUGUCCAGUUGUUUCUUUUUGCUGCAUAACAUAGGGUCGAUGGAUUGGAUUCACAAUUAAGUGAAAGCAACUUGCCACCGGCACACACAGUUGCGC
rnacentral:misc_RNA from 1 species